rnacentral:rRNA from 1 species
GACGAACGCUGGCGGCGCGCCUAACACAUGCAAGUCGAACGGAGUUUACAAGCGGAAGUUUUCGGAUGGAAGCUUGUAAACUUAGUGGCGGACGGGUGAGUAACACGUGAGCAACCUGCCUAUCAGAGGGGGAUAACGAUUGGAAACGAUCGCUAAUACCGCAUAACGUAGCGAAAAGGCAUCUUUAUGCUACCAAAGAUUUAUCGCUGAUAGAUGGGCUCGCGUCCGAUUAGAUAGUUGGUGAGGUAACGGCUCACCAAGUCGACGAUCAGUAGCCGGACUGAGAGGUUGAACGGCCACAUUGGGACUGAGAUACGGCCCAGACUCCUACGGGAGGCAGCAGUGGGGGAAUAUUGGGCAAUGGGGGAAACCUGACCCAGCAACGCCGCGUGAAGGAAGAAGGCUUUCGGGUUGUAAACUUCUUUUACCAGGGUACGAAGGACGUGACGGUACCUGGAGAAAAAGCCACGGCUAACUACGUG